ACCCUCACUACUAUCCCAGCGGGAGGAAGAAAGACUUUCCUUCUCCCCUAGCAACAGCCCAGCCAAUGAGAGCGUGUUACAAUUCAGGCAAUGAAAAGCCACCAUACUUCCAAGGCCCAGUUUACACCAAUGGCCUUUUUGUUUACAACAGCCUUCCCAACAUCCCCUUUCCUUUGUAAAAGUGGUCCUCUGUGUGCUCCGGAUUUGCCUCUGGUUUUGCCUAGCUUAGCUUUUGCUCAUUGCCGUUGGCUGCUAGUCCCAAAUAAACCCACUUUUGCAGGGACAUGGCACUCUCCAAAGCCUGAGGAAAUCACUCUCUUUUCAGUGUCUUUUGACUGGGUCAAAAGACUCGGUCAGCAAAAGGAGUCUGAAACAGCUGCGCUUCUGGUAGGUGCCCUGCUCCACUGAUGAGAGAAGUGAGGGAUGGACAACUGUUAUUUCUCCAGAGCACAUCGGAACAGAUUAGCAUCUGGAUAGGAAGUCUGAAUAAAGAUCACCCUCACCAAUGCCUGUGGGCAUCAUGCAAUCCUUGGAGGGCCUGACCAGAGCCAAACAUCAGAGGAAGGGCGAAUUCAUUCUCCCUACUUGAGCUGCGACACCCACCUUCUCCGGCACUUGGAUUCUCGGGCCUUUGAAUUCAGACCAGAACUACACCAAGGGGCUCCCCUGAUUCUCAUUUCUUCGGGCUUGGACUGCAGCCAUAGCACUGGCCUUCAGCUUGCAGAGAGCACACCAUGGACUCCUCAGCCUCCAUAAUCAGGUGAACCAAUCCCUGCUCAGAGCUAUGCUCCUAUAUACAUGCAAAGUUCCUAUUGGCCUUGUUUCUCUGGACUAAGAUGGUAUUUCACUAGAACAAAAAAAAUAAAGAGUAUCUGAGUCUCCAUACUUUAGUAACAAUGGCCAUGCCCUGUCUUGAGUGGUUUGGGACAAACAAGGCAUGGUGCUCUUUGUCUGGUCGAGGCAGGACAGAGAGGAGAGGGGAAGAUGUGAGAGUUGGUGACAUGGAGAGUUUGGCAGGAGCCAGGGGUCAUGUGAGAAAGAACAUGUCUAGGAAGUCUCCCAAGUUCUGGCAAGGUUGCUAGAUGUCCAAUAGUACAAGGGAUCUAGGGCCACUCUUUAUGUUCACAUUUUAAGGAACGGGGUGAAUUCAGUCAUCAACCGGCAUCCAUAAAGAUGGAGUUUAAAAGGUUCAAAAAGACUGUAAUCUAUGUUCUAGCUUAGAGCUUAUCAAUUGCUAUUUAUGGUACUGAUCUCAUGGGUGCUGUUUUAAGGGUCAAAGGAGUUAAAUAGCUCUACAAAUUUAAUGCAUAUCAAUUUUUUAGAAGAUUUUAUUUAUUUAUUUAUUUAUUUAUUUAUUUAUUUAUUUAUUUGAGAGAGAG